CCAAUUACAUUUCAGUAAAUUAUCAUAGGGAUAAUUUGAAGUUAUCAAACAUUAUUCCUAUUACAAGGAAUCACACAAGAUUCAGUUCAUUCAUGAGUCUAUACCAGUACAUUACCUGAUACAUGAGUACAUAUGCAUAUGCUUACCUGAUACAUGAACACAAGUACAUGAAUACCAUACAUGAACACUGUUACAUAGGUGCAUUAUCCUGUAUUCACUUACUUGGAUACUUGUACUUAGAACUACGAGGAUGAUUUAUUAGUACUUUCUGUGUAAAUUAUCUUUCCUAUCCCAGUUCAAUGGGAUAUCUCGGCGAGACUAACCAUUCCGAACCCCGCUGAUUAGCACCAGUGGUCGAUGACCAUCUACGGAGGUCUAUGGUUACUAUUUAUAUUAGGUAGAUCGAUAACUCGGCGGGACUAACCAUUCCGAAUCCCAUCUGAUUAACACUAGUGGUCGAUGACCAUCUACGGAGGUCUAUGGUUACUAUUUAUACUAGGUAGAUCGAUAACCGGGGCUAACCCCUCCACCCACCUGCUGCUGCUACAGAGGACAAGUGGACAAUCUUCGAUUGUUCAUAAGGUUAUACCUUUCGCUUAUUGCGAUGUUGUGUUACUCCUAGUACCCAGCGAUGACACUUACAUUAAUACUUUUUCUGGACAAUCUUCGGAUGUUCAUUAGGUUACAUAUUUCGCUUAAUGCGAUGUUGUGUUGGUCCUAGUACCCAGUGACAACACUUACAGUAGUACAUUUUCCUGUUUACUUUAUUUUGUGAUACUUUCACAUAAACGAUGAGUUAGACUAAGUACUUUAGUACUAGUCAAUAGAAGGAAAAACUAUCAUUUUACUUACAAAACAUUCGGGUCUUGGUAGAAGACUACAUUUCAUAAUACUAGAAAAUAAGGGAUUUCUAGGGCUUUUCAUACUUAUAUCAACAUUUUCAUUUAAAGGUUUACAUGACUUUUGAAACAGCUUUUCAAAGCAAGACAAUGACACUUAGAUACUUAUGAAUUCACCAGCUUGAAAGCUGAUACUCUCUUUCAAAAUAACUUGUAUUCUCAGGUCAUCAGUAGACAGGUACGGUGGCCAGGUUGGGAGAAGACGCAGCAGACAAGUCUCGUCUUUUACUUUGAUUGUAUAUUUUUGGUGUCUUAUUACAAUGAAAGAACACACAUGUAUUAAAACUUUACUUAUAAUGCGAUGGAUGAUGUUGUUGCUUGUUUACUAUUUUACAUUGUUGUGAUACUAUACAUGACGUCCUCCACCCCUGAACGUUUCCGCCGUUCGUGGUUUUGGGGUGUGACAGAUUGGUAUCAGAGCAUUGUUUAUAGCGAAUUAAGUAUAUCAACCCAUAAAAGAUAUACUAACUAUAAAUACAUGGGAUUAAAACACUCUGUCUAAGAGUUUAUACUUUUAAAUAAUAAAAUAUUUAACAAAGUAUACGUGCCUGCAUUCAUACUAAAAUCAGUGUCACAAUGACAAGAACAAAAGUAUUACGAUUGUUGAAUAUCACAAGUAAGCCGGGGGAUAUAUGGUCAGUCUUAGGAGUGGCAUAGCCUGAUCAACUAUGUUGUUCCAAAGAGUGAUUAGCACAUGCCCAAGAAUGGUUGUGACAUGGCAACAAGUCUAAAAACUUACCAACAUUACCACAAUGAGAACAUUAUAACAAAACCUAAAUUUAAAAUACCAUAGGGGUGUUUUGUGUUACUAUAAGUACUUUAUACUUGAGAACUAAAAUGGAAUCUUCAUUCCUAAGUUGAUAAUUGCUAAGUGGAUACGCUAAAAUUAUAUGUAACUAGGAUGUUAUAGACUUAGAAUCGGUGAAAUUUUUGCUUUACCCCUAUUCCUUGUGAAUUUGGAGUUGAGGUCACUUAUUUGAAGGCCUAUCCUGUGUUGAUUACAUAUAACUAGUAUGCACUUUACGAAUAGUGAUGGAACUAAUGAAGAUUUCCUAAAUAAUUAUCUAGAUAGUUCGUCUAAUAAUUAUUCUCUUACCCCAAUUCUCGCAUAGAUAACAUGGCUGGACUCCAUCCUCAUGGCAACCUGUACCUUCCGAAUGAGGUUAUUGCUGGAUGGUUUGAAGAAGAGCCAAAUAAUGAUCAUCCUAUCCCUGUGAAUGAUCACCAUGAUGAAGACCUUUCGGAUGGUGCUAACUCCGAACCCGAGGUUGAAGACCUACCCCAGGCAGCUCCCGUUCCAAUUCCUAACCCUCGUCCGGCUUUUCAUGGCCCGACGCCUCCAUGGGUGGAAUGCUUGGAAACAUGGAGCGAAGGUCAAGAUCAACCUAUGUCGUUUAAUGGAGACCGAAGCUUUUACAACGUAAGUGAAGGGAGCUCAGCAGAUAGAGUUCUACCAAUUUUGAUCCGUACAGUUGCCCGAAACGAGAUUCAGGGCAUGACAGCCCUACAACGUAUCGCAGAAGUUGAUACAAAUGGAGGAAUGCAUAUGCUUCGCACCAGUCGCCUUGAACAUGUUCGUGAGAGGUCUGAGAGAGACCGUGAAACCCUGCUGCAAGCACUAUCUGAAUCACAAGCCGAAGUCAUAGAACUUCGAGUACGCCAAAGGGUGUACGAAAGACACCUACUCGAUGUGGAACGCCAACUGGCUGAACUGAGAGUUCACCAGAGGGAUGACCGUCGCUAGUAGUAGAUAAUUUACUUUAUAUCCCUUGUUAGAAAGGAAUCGUGUUUCUGUCUAUGCCCGAUGUGGCAUUUUCUAUGAAACUAUCUUGUACUGUAAGUACUUUAGUUAGGUAUUUAUACUGUCAGGAACUAUCUUCUCUGGAUAUGAUGUAAGACCUUUUUACAAGGUCAUUUUCCCGAACUAGUAUGUCCUGAAUAUCAAAGGUAUUGACAGUCGGCUAACUUAUGUGUCAUUCUUUAUUCAAAUACUCUUAUCUUACUUUCAUUUGAGUCUAUUUGAAACAUGCUCUAGUCAAGUCAUUGGACUAUAGCAAUUUAACUCCGGAGACAUCUCCAAGUCUCUUUUAAUGGUUGGAUCAUGUUAUUCACCAACCAGCGAUACCUCGGCUUGCACAACAAACAUCUUGAGACCAUUGUAAGAACUUACUUCUGAACUUUACUAGGACUACAUCAUAGGGAUGUAGGUCAAACCAUCGUGAACAUACUUCCAUUCCGUACUAGGACUGCAUCACAGGGAUGUAGGUCGAACCUUAGAGAACAUACUUCUAUUCUUUGCACGAUCGAUCGACCUACGUCUAAUUUCAACCAUUUUCGCUAACAAAUUCAUUUUCUUUCGGUAACAGAAUCAUGUCUCCCAAGAAGAACGAUCAGCCCAUCAACCAAACACCAACUCUUCAGAUUGAUGCAGCUACCUUUCAAGCUGCAGUCUCGGCUGCCGUGUCAGCUGUUCUGACCCACCUGAACGCUAACAACGCAAGUCUUAGCAGGAUCGUUAUCAAUCAUUCCAAUCCAAGUAACAAUCCAGCUCCGCAACGAGCAACAAACUACCACGGUACCCCGAGUGCUAAGAUCAAGAGUAACAGCCGGAAGUUUUGAGCCAAAAGGAAGAACAAAUCGCUUCGAGGGGCGAAUAAGAACACAGCUACGACAUCUGCACCUCCUACUACCAUUCCUUCUGGUGUCCCAAUUGUCCCUACACCAGCCACACAAUAUGCCGGAAACCUACCGAAAUGCUAUGAGUGUAGCUUUCAUCAUCUGGGUGGUUGCCGACCGUUACACUGUUAUAAGUGCAACAGGAAUGGACAUACUGCCAGUUACUGUAGGAUCCAGAUCCAACACAUUUCUUCAACCACCAAUGUCCAAACCUCUCAGAUAUGCCAUCUAUGUGGCGUCAUGGGACACUUCAAGAGGGACUGUCCAGCAGGGAAGGGCAACGACGAAUUCGGAGGAGUUUGACCUCAGAAUGCAAAGAGGCAGUUAAGGACCCUAAUAUAGUAUAGGUUCCCUCCAAAUCGUCAGUAUUCUAUAUGUUCAAAAACAUGUUUAAAACUAGUGCAAGUAGAGUCUUAUCUUUUGCGGGAUCUUGUCGGUAUAGGGAUGCUCGUGCUGCGUAUACUUGUCUUUUGUAGUAUAUCUGAUUUGCAGCAAUAGUCUUGUAGCAAAUCUAAAGUACUGUAACUCUGAUCAUGGUUGCACGGUUGUUUUUGUCUGUAAAUGUUUUAUGUUCAAAUCUAAUGUCUUUAAGUUUCUGUAUGAUUCUGACAUUAUCAUACGACUCGAUUCAAUUCGAUCCUCGCAAUACCAGCUUCAUAAGUACAUCUCUUUCUUAGUAAACGUCUUUUAGCGAAGCCGUCAUAUCAGAACUCCAAGGUGCUCGUGCAUGAAGUACCUAUUAGUUCUUUUCCUUUCCAAAGGAAUCCCUACAGUAUUACUCGUGGAGUACGUCAACUUCAAUUCCAGGAUUCAUAUGGUUGAUCUAUCACUGAAGAAUGUAUACAUAAGAGUGAUAUAUAGUCAAUGUUCUACAGGUUUAGAAUUGAUGAUUCCACUUUAACUUCUUUUCCCUCGAUGGGAUGUGAGAUUAAGGAAGAAUCAGUUAUUCGACUACCUUUUCAAUUUUAAUUAUAUACGACUCGUAUACACGAGAUUGUGAUCGUUGAAACAUGUAUGAAUUCUAAUAUAAACUUCAGGAUGGAGACUGUCCAAGAGUACGAGUAAACUGCAUUGGAGCAGGAACAAACUUAGAACCCAGUAUGACUCUUAUAACCAGAUCGCAUUACAGUCUAAACACCUACAGAAGAUACAAGAAUAGCCUGGACAACACAAAGAACUACUCAACAAUAGAAUUAGAAGACCAGGUUUCUCACCCUUGAGAGCUCUGGUCUAAUCCUUACCAGAAGUCGACGGAGUGCAUCAUAUGUACCUCGACGACCGGAGACUUCAUUAAGAAUUCCUUUAGAAAUCGUUGUCUCUGCCUCGCAUAAACAAGUUGAUUAAGCAAACACAGGGAAAGAGUUACCUUCAGAAAUGGACCUGAGAUCCGAAUAUCACUAGUACGAGUGAUAGGGAAGGAUGUUCUGAAGGCUAUCCUUCGAAAUCGAUGCGGACUUUGCAAGUCCGUAGUGAUACCCCUCGGAUAGGACCAAUACGCCCACAGUAUUCAGGAGCUAGAUGAGUGGAGUACGUCUUUCUUACUGGGAUCAGUUCUUCAUUUCUCCAUGUAAUGACUUAUUUAUCUACCCUCGUAGUGAGAAAGAACCCAUAGAAACAUUACCCUCGGAGAUAACUUUUCGCAAAUUUCUCAGAACAGGAGUUUUGGAACUUAGAGACAAAUUUCCUGAGUCACACUAUUAGUGUUGUGGAAAUUCUUGAGUACUCUGUCAAAUUAUCCAAAACUGUUGGGAUUUGUCGGCACCGUAGUCACCAACAGAAAAUUCACCAAAUUCUAGGUCUUACAGACCUACUAUCAUAGUCCAUUCGGAACUCCCCGCAAACUUCAGAAACCCUUUCGACUUUUACCCAGCAAGGGAUGACCUUGACUGGAAAGUAAGCGAGAGAAAGAACCUUUGGAAUUCCAAGUGAGAGACCAAAUUCUUAAGGAAACCUCACUCUAGGAAUGGCUUAAUACGCUUAGUAAAGCAUGGAAAAGCUAAAUCCAAUGUAGUUGGGACCUCCAAGAUUCCUACGAGAAUCGGUCCUGCAUCUCAAAAACUAGACCUACUCCGCGAACUCAGUAACGUACAUUUUCCCUUUCGCGUCUCGAACCUGAAACAGUAUCUUUCCAUUAGGACUUUCGUAAGCCCUCUCGACAAGAUCGAGAUUUACGAAAUCCUUGCCUUCGUAUUAGAACCGUAGUGACCUAGGACCGAGUGGCCAAGCGGACGAAGCAACGUCGUCGCCCAUUAGUGAAGGUUCGUUGGAAUACCAACUGAGAACCCGAUUUCACUUGGGAGCGCGAGAGCAAAUCAAUUAGGAAGUUUUCACCUAAUGACUCGAUCACGUUUACCUACUUCCUUGCCUAAAUUCUAAUUUUGGGACGAAAUUCCCUUUAACAGGGGGAUGAUGUGACAACCCGAAAUUUCCAUUCUGAACAAACCAUAUCAAGCCAAUAGAGGUUAGAACAGUUUCAGCGAAAUUCCAGACUUUGGGUAUAAGUUUGAGUUUUUCAGGAUUUACACUUAAGGAGAUAUCAGGAGAGUGGAUGCACUAGGGUUUUGUGCAACUCUAUUAUUCCAUCACUCUAUUAUAUUAGAGGUCAUUUAGGGAAUAAAAAUAUUUUCUGCCAAAAAUAUCUCAGGACUAUAAAUAGAAUUCUGAACCAAAUUUAAUCAUUAUUCGCAUUUUCAACUAGAGAAAAGCCAUUUUCUCUCUCACGGAUCUUCGGGUUUUUAUCCCAAAUCGUGAGUACCUCUUUCUAGUAAUGUUAGAAAGCUUUAUAUGUGUUUAUAACAUGAUUUAGAAGGCUAAAUCACUAGAUCUAGGAGUUUACUCCCCAAGGUGUUCUUGGGCGGUAAACUCCCGAAACAAAGCCGAGACCGACCCUUGUGUUAUGCAACUGCCUUAGACUCAUAUGUAUGUGUGUUAGGGACAAGAAAACAACCAAGAAUCACCCAAGUUUGGGAGUUCACGGCCCAAGAGUUUCUUAGGCCGUAAACUCCCUUUUCAAACUCAAAAUGGUGCUUUUAAGGCACCUAAAGCUUAGGACUUUUAUCUAGACUUGUUCCCAUUUAAUCUAAGGCCUUAAGCACAUCAAAAUCACUUAUCAAAGUGAGUUUACGGCCAAGACUUUGUUCUUGGGCCGUAAACAUGAAAGAAGGGCACCAAAGUGUGCCUAAUGUCUUCAUAUGCUUGGAAUAAAAGCCUAGAACUUAUACCACCUAUGCUUGAGGCUUGAAAUCAACAAGAACACCAUUCCAAGGGAGUUUACGGCCGUAAACUCCAAAGGAAAUGGCCUUAGGGCCGUAAACUCCUAAAUGGAGUGUUUCUAGACCUUAAACCCUUCCAAGAAUUUAACCACCAAGUUGGAAUAAUUCUAGGAAUCAUUUGGAACUUCAAAACACACAAAACACCCAUGGUUGGGAGUUUACGGCCGUAAACUCAAGAGUUUACAACCGUAAACUCCAUGUGUGUUAGUAUAUGAGGAGUAAACUCAUAUAUGGGGUCCUUUGGAACCCUAAACACAAGUACCUUGUCCCACAAUAGCUUAGAUGCAAUCCUUAGGGCUUAAAACACUUAUAUAAAGUGUUUAUUAUGUCUAGGAUGUCUUAACAUUAUCAAUUAGUGAUUUGAGACUAAUUGAGUGCAUAUAUGUGUGAUUAUAUGUUCAUUAGGAUCGUAGUGUGUGUACAAGUCCUCGCUUGACACCUAGCAAUCCUAUACCGUUCAGUUCAUCCCAAUCACCAACUACAGGUGAGUUCAUACCCCUAAUCAAUAUUUUAAAUAAAUGCUGUAAAGGGGGGGGGGAAUACAAGUAGAAACAAACAUGUUAUUAAAUCAUUGAUAUGUAUUUUAUAACUGUGUUUGUCAUUUAACAGAUUUCACAUGCUACAAAAUGUGAUGCAUGAAAUGGUUUUAAAUCUUAAAAACACAUUGUUAUCAAAUGUUUUACCUUUGAAAUGUUUAUUAAAAUGACAUCAAGUCAUUGUUAAUUAUUGUUCAAAACCCAUAAGAUGUCUUACAAAACCAUUUUACAUUCUUGAACUAAACUAUGCAUAUACACUUAUAUUCUUAUAUAUGUAUUGAUGUUAUAGUUUACAUCUUUCAUUUAGUUUCUCACACCCUUGAGUAGUAAGAGUGUAUAAACCUACUUGAACAACUAAUUACCUUUCAGUAAAUUAUCAUAGGGAUAAUUUGAAGAUAUCAAACAUUAUUCCUAUUACAAGGAAUCACACAAGAGUCAGUUCAUUCAUGAGUCUAUACUAGUACAUUACCUGAUACAUGAGUACAUAUACAGAUGCUUACCUGAUACAUGAAUAUGUUUACAUAUACUUACCUGUUACAUGAACACACUUACAUGAAUACCAUACAGGAACACUUUUACAUAGGUGCAUUAUCCUGUAUUCACUUACCUGGAUACUUGUACUUAGAACUACGAGGAUGAUUUAUUAGUACUUUCUGUGUAAAUUAUCUUUCCUAUCCCGGUUCAAUGGGAUAUCUCGGCGGGACUUACCAUUCCGAACCCCACUGAUUAGCACCAGUGGUCGAUGACCAUCUACGGAGGUCUAAGGUUACUAUUUAUAUUAGGUAGAUCGAUAACCGGGGCUAACCCCUCCACCCACCUGUUGCUGCUACAAAGGACAAGUGGACAAUCUUCGAUUGUUCAUAAGGUUAUAGUUUUCGCUUAUUGCGAUGUUGUGUUACUCCUAGUACCCAGCGAUGACACUUACAUUAUUAUUUUUCUGUACAAUCUUCGGAUGUUCAUUAGGUUGCAUUUUUCGCUUAACGCGAUGUUGUGUUAGUCCUAGUACCCAGUGACAACACUUACAGUAGUACAUUUUCCUGUUUACUUUAUUUUGUGAUACUUUCACAUAAACGAUGAGUUAGACUAAGUACUUUAGUACUAGUCAAUAGA
rnacentral:lncRNA from 1 species